UAGAGACGGGGUUUCUCCAUGUUGGUCAGGCUGGUCUUGAACUCCCGACCUCAGGUGAUCCACCUGCCUUGGCCUCCCAAAAUGCUGGGAUUACAGGCAUGAGCCACUGUGCCCGGCUGUCCAUGUCAUUUUUAUUGGGUAGAUAUUUCUGUUCAGUGACUGUUAUAUUGCUUACUUUAUCAUUCCUUUGAUGUGAAUGCUUAGCUUCACAACAGCCUGUUUAUAUAGAUCAUGUUUUCUAUUUUUCAGUUAAUUAAAAAAACCCAAAUUCUCAGUCCUAGCAUUAUUGUGCAUAAUGUCUGAAUGUUUUGGAAUUUCAGGUAAAUAUGUUGGUUCAUGAGAUUUGCACAGAAGCUGAAUUUGUUGUUUCCUGGUGAGACACGUGAUGUUUUUUGCUGUCUUUGUUGCACUAACAUGUCAUUAACAUGUAUGUACAGUGUUAUAUGCUCACAUAUGUUUAUGUGUAGCCUAUGCACCUGUAUUGGAUUUUUCUUCAAUCUCAUUUAUUGUCAGGUAUUUGUGGAAUGCCUGUGGUGUGCCAAGUUCUGCUCAAGGCCUUGGUAUUCAGUAGUGAUCAAAGUAGAUCAACUAGUACCAGUUCUUAAGAGGCUUAUUGUUAAGUGGGGGAAACAAGCAAAUAGACAAAGAAAAAAUAACAUUGUAAGGAAUAUGAAAUAAUGCAUACUAGAAUAAUAUGACGGGAUGGUUAUUGUGAGGUAAGGGGGUUCACACUGAAAUCCUGUCUGAGGAAUCAGGAUUUGAGUGAGACACAAAGACUCAGUAAGUUAACCAGAGGAACAAAGUAUUAGCAGAAAAGGCAAGACUGAUCAAUAUGACUACAUAUUAAAGAAAAAGGCACCGUAGUGUCCGAGAAGUCAGGCGUGUAGCUCAGCGGCGGCCGCGGCGCGUGCGUUUGUGCUUCUGCGUGGGUGUCCGGGUUCUUCUGCCAUCAUGCCGAUGUUCAUCGUAAACACCAACGUGCCCCGCGCCUCCGUGCCGGACGGGUUCCUCUCCGAGCUCACCCAGCAGCUGGCGCAGGCCACUGGCAAGCCCCCCCAGUACAUCGCGGUGCACGUGGUCCCGGACCAGCUCACGGCCUUCGGAGGCUCCAGCGAGCCUUGCGCGCUCUGCAGCCUGCACAGCAUUGGCAAGAUCGGCGGCGCGCAGACCGCUCCUACAGCAAGCUGCUGUGCGGCCAGCAGGCCGAGCGCCUGCGCAUCAGCCCGGACAGGGUCUACAUCAACUAUUACGUCAUGAACGCGGCCAACGUGGGCUGGAACAACUCCACCUUCGCCUAAGAGCCGCAGGGCCCCACGCGGUCUGCAUUGGCUCGACCCGGGAACCCGCAGCACGCAGUGUUCUAGGCUCGCCCAUCCCAACCUUAUGGAGAAAUAAAACGGUUUAGAGACUAAAAAA